GACGAACGCUGGCGGCGUGCUUAACACAUGCAAGCCGAACGGUGAAGGUGGAGCUUGCUCCGCCGGAUCAGUGGCGAACGGGUGAGUAACACGUGGGCAACCUGCCCCAGACUUCGGGAUAACUCCUCGAAAGAGGCGCUAAUACCGGAUACGAGUUCUGCAGGCAUCUGCGGAAUUGGAAAGUUUUUCGGUCUGGGAUGGGCCCGCGGCCUAUCAGCUUGUGGGUGAGGUAACGGCUCACCAAGGCGACGACGGGUAGCCGGCCUGAGAGGGCGACCGGCCACACUGGGACUGAGACACGGCCCAGACUCCUACGGGAGGCAGCAGUGGGGAAUAUUGCGCAAUGGGCGAAAGCCUGACGCAGCAACGCCGCGUGCGGGAUGAAGGCCUUCGGGUUGUAAACCGCUUUCAGCAGGGAAGAAGCGAAAGUGACGGUACCUGCAGAAGAAGCACCGGCUAACUACGUGCCAGCCGCCGCGGUAA
rnacentral:rRNA from 1 species